AGUGAACGCUGGCGGUAGGCCUAACACAUGCAAGUCGAACGGCAGCACAGUAAGAGCUUGCUCUUACGGGUGGCGAGUGGCGGACGGGUGAGGAAUACAUCGGAAUCUACUUUUUCGUGGGGGAUAACGUAGGGAAACUUACGCUAAUACCGCAUACGACCUACGGGUGAAAGCAGGGGAUCUUCGGACCCUGCGCGAUUGAAUGAGCCGAUGUCGGAUUAGCUAGUUGGCGAGGUAAAGGCCCACCAAGGCGACGAUCCGUAGCUGGUCUGAGAGGAUGAUCAGCCACACUGGAACUGAGACACGGUCCAGACUCCUACGGGAGGCAGCAGUGGGGAAUAUUGGGCAAUGGGCGCAAGCCUGAUCCAGCCAUACCGCGUGGGUGAAGAAGGCCUUCGGGUUGUAAAGCCCUUUUGUUGGGAAAGAAAAGCAGCAGGUUAAUACCCCGCUGUUCUGACGGUACCCAAAGAAUAAGCACCGGCUAACUUCGUG
rnacentral:rRNA from 1 species